rnacentral:lncRNA from 1 species
GCAGAUAUUGAUACUGAGGACUGCCUAUUUGAGUGUAGUUUUGUUUUCCAGGUAACAUCAGACCUUGUGCUUUUCUCCCCUCCCCUCACUGUUCACUGACUUUAGUGUGCUGGCGUCGCCUCUCCUAGAGGACAGGCGUGGUAGGGAGAUGAAUUGGAACUCAGUUUGAUUUAUUACAUUUCAGGUAAAAGGAUUAUUUAGGAACAGUAGAAUAAAUGGAUUGGUCAAAAUGGUGUUAUGGGACAUCUGAACUUUAAAAUUAUCCAUCUUCUCCCAGUCUUAUUUUUAACCUGGAAAAGAAACUUAAAUAUUCAGUACAUGAUCCUGAGGUUGCCCCUUCCCUGAGUCUGUUAAGGUGUCAUAUCCCAUGUUGGGAGGUCCUGGAAGGACAAAUUCACAUGGAAGUUAGAUAACUGAUGAGAGUGAUGCCGUGUCCAUGUCUGUAGUGGGAUACGGAGGA